GGGCCGUUAGCUCAGUUGGCAGAGCACCUGCCUUUUAAGCAGGGUGUCGCGCGUUCGAGUCGCGCACGGCUCA
rnacentral:tRNA from 1 species